UCCUCGGUGGCGCAAUUGGCUAGCGCGUCUGACUGUUAAUAAUCCAGGUUAUCAGCGGUUCAUCAGGAGGUUGAAAGUUCGAGCCUUUCCCGGGGAG